GGGUGUUGUUGAAGAAUAUUAAGAACUAAGCAUCAAAGGGUUACGAAAACACCGUCCGACUGUAAAUCUGCUCUCGUAUGAGUACGCUGGUUCGAAUCCAGCCCUGCCCACCA
rnacentral:tRNA from 1 species